AUGCAAGUCGAACGAACUCUGGUAUUGAUUGGUGCUUGCAUCAUGAUUUACAUUUGAGUGAGUGGCGAACUGGUGAGUAACACGUGGGAAACCUGCCCAGAAGCGGGGGAUAACACCUGGAAACAGAUGCUAAUACCGCAUAACAACUUGGACCGCAUGGUCCGAGCUUGAAAGAUGGCUUCGGCUAUCACUUUUGGAUGGUCCCGCGGCGUAUUAGCUAGAUGGUGGGGUAACGGCUCACCAUGGCAAUGAUACGUAGCCGACCUGAGAGGGUAAUCGGCCACAUUGGGACUGAGACACGGCCCAAACUCCUACGGGAGGCAGCAGUAGGGAAUCUUCCACAAUGGACGAAAGUCUGAUGGAGCAACGCCGCGUGAGUGAAGAAGGGUUUCGGCUCGUAAAACUCUGUUGUUAAAGAAGAACAUAUCUGAGAGUAACUGUUCAGGUAUUGACGGUAUUUAACCAGAAAGCCACGGCUAACUACGUGCCAGCAGCCGCGGUAAUACGUAGGUGGCAAGCGUUGUCCGGAUUUAUUGGGCGUAAAGCGAGCGCAGGCGGUUUUUUAAGUCUGAUGUGAAAGCCUUCGGCUCAACCGAAGAAGUGCAUCGGAAACUGGGAAACUUGAGUGCAGAAGAGGACAGUGGAACUCCAUGUGUAGCGGUGAAAUGCGUAGAUAUAUGGAAGAACACCAGUGGCGAAGGCGGCUGUCUGGCUGUAACUGACGCUGA
rnacentral:rRNA from 1 species